rnacentral:rRNA from 1 species
CGGGACACGUGGUAUCCUGUCUGAAUAUGGGGGGACCAUCCUCCAAGGCUAAAUACUCCUGACUGACCGAUAGUGAACCAGUACCGUGAGGGAAAGGCGAAAAGAACCCCGGCGAGGGGAGUGAAAAAGAACCUGAAACCGUGUACGUACAAGCAGUGGGAGCCUCUUAAUGGGGUGACUGCGUACCUUUUGUAUAAUGGGUCAGCGACUUAUAUUCUGUAGCAAGGUUAACCGAAUAGGGGAGCCGAAGGGAAACCGAGUCUUAACUGGGCGUUAAGUUGCAGGGUAUAGACCCGAAACCCGGUGAUCUAGCCAUGGGCAGGUUGAAGGUUGGGUAACACUAACUGGAGGACCGAACCGACUAAUGUUGAAAAAUUAGCGGAUGACUUGUGGCUGGGGGUGAAAGGCCAAUCAAACCGGGAGAUAGCUGGUUCUCCCCGAAAGCUAUUUAGGUAGCGCCUCGUGAAUUCAUCUCCGGGGGUAGAGCACUGUUUCGGCAAGGGGGUCAUCCCGACUUACCAACCCGAUGCAAACUGCGAAUACCGGAGAAUGUUAUCACGGGAGACACACGGCGGGUGCUAACGUCCGUCGUGAAGAGGGAAACAACCCAGACCGCCAGCUAAGGUCCCAAAGUCAUGGUUAAGUGGGAAACGAUGUGGGAAGGCCCAGACAGCCAGGAUGUUGGCUUAGAAGCAGCCAUCAUUUAAAGAAAGCGUAAUAGCUCACUGGUCGAGUCGGCCUGCGCGGAAGAUGUAACGGGGCUAAACCAUGCACCGAAGCUGCGGCAGCGACACUGUGUGUUGUUGGGUAGGGGAGCGUUCUGUAAGCCUGUGAAGGUGUGCUGUGAGGCAUGCUGGAGGUAUCAGAAGUGCGAAUGCUGACAUAAGUAACGAUAAAGCGGGUGAAAAGCCCGCUCGCCGGAAGACCAAGGGUUCCUGUCCAACGUUAAUCGGGGCAGGGUGAGUCGACCCCUAAGGCGAGGCCGAAAGGCGUAGUCGAUGGGAAACAGGUUAAUAUUCCUGUACUUGGUGUUACUGCGAAGGGGGGACGGAGAAGGCUAUGUUGGCCGGGCGACGGUUGUCCCGGUUUAAGCGUGUAGGCUGGUUUUCCAGGCAAAUCCGGAAAACUAAGGCUGAGGCGUGAUGACGAGGCACUACGGUGCUGAAGCAACAAAUGCCCUGCUUCCAGGAAAAGCCUCUAAGCAUCAGGUAACAUUAAAUCGUACCCCAAACCGACACAGGUGGUCAGGUAGAGAAUACCAAGGCGCUUGAGAGAACUCGGGUGAAGGAACUAGGCAAAAUGGUGCCGUAACUUCGGGAGAAGGCACGCUGAUAUGUAGGUGAAGUCCCUCGCGGAUGGAGCUGAAAUCAGUCGAAGAUACCAGCUGGCUGCAACUGUUUAUUAAAAACACAGCACUGUGCAAACACGAAAGUGGACGUAUACGGUGUGACGCCUGCCCGGUGCCGGAAGGUUAAUUGAUGGGGUUAGCGGUAACGCGAAGCUCUUGAUCGAAGCCCCGGUAAACGGCGGCCGUAACUAUAACGGUCCUAAGGUAGCGAAAUUCCUUGUCGGGUAAGUUCCGACCUGCACGAAUGGCGUAAUGAUGGCCAGGCUGUCUCCACCCGAGACUCAGUGAAAUUGAACUCGCUGUGAAGAUGCAGUGUACCCGCGGCAAGACGGAAAGACCCCGUGAACCUUUACUAUAGCUUGACACUGAACAUUGAGCCUUGAUGUGUAGGAUAGGUGGGAGGCUUUGAAGUGUGGACGCCAGUCUGCAUGGAGCCGGCCUUGAAAUACCACCCUUUAAUGUUUGAUGUUCUAACGUUGGCCCCUGAUCGGGGUUGCGGACAGUGUCUGGUGGGUAGUUUGACUGGGGCGGUCUCCUCCUAAAGAGUAACGGAGGAGCACGAAGGUUGGCUAAUCCUGGUCGGACAUCAGGAGGUUAGUGCAAUGGCAUAAGCCAGCUUGACUGCGAGCGUGACGGCGCGAGCAGGUGCGAAAGCAGGUCAUAGUGAUCCGGUGGUUCUGAAUGGAAGGGCCAUCGCUCAACGGAUAAAAGGUACUCCGGGGAUAACAGGCUGAUACCGCCCAAGAGUUCAUAUCGACGGCGGUGUUUGGCACCUCGAUGUCGGCUCAUCACAUCCUGGGGCUGAAGUAGGUCCCAAGGGUAUGGCUGUUCGCCAUUUAAAGUGGUACGCGAGCUGGGUUUAGAACGUCGUGAGACAGUUCGGUCCCUAUCUGCCGUGGGCGCUGGAGAACUGAGGGGGGCUGCUCCUAGUACGAGAGGACCGGAGUGGACGCAUCACUGGUGUUCGGGUUGUCAUGCCAAUGGCACUGCCCGGUAGCUAAAUGCGGAAGAGAUAAGUGCUGAAAGCAUCUAAGCACGAAACUUGCCCCGAGAUG